rnacentral:rRNA from 1 species
UUUUGUAUAAUGGGUCAGCGACUCACUAUUCUGUUUUAAGGUUAACCGUAUAGGGGAGCCGCAGGGAAACCGAGUCUUAACUGGGCGUUAAGUUGCAGGGUAUAGACCCGAAACCCGGUGAUCUAGCCAUGGGCAGGUUGAAGGUUGGGUAACACUAACUGGAGGACCGAACCGACUAAUGUUGAAAAAUUAGCGGAUGACUUGUGGCUGGGGGUGAAAGGCCAAUCAAACCGGGAGAUAGCUGGUUCUCCCCGAAAGCUAUUUAGGUAGCGCCUCGUGAACUCAUCUUCGGGGGUAGAGCACUGUUUCGGCUAGGGGGUCAUCCCGACUUACCAACCCGAUGCAAACUACGAAUACCGAAGAAUGUUAUCACGGGAGACACACGGCGGGUGCUAACGUCCGUCGUGAAGAGGGAAACAACCCAGACCGCCAGCUAAGGUCCCAAAGUCAUGGUUAAGUGGGAAACGAUGUGGGAAGGCACAGACAGCCAGGAUGUUGGCUUAGAAGCAGCCAUCAUUUAAAGAAAGCGUAAUAGCUCACUGGUCGAGUCGGCCUGCGCGGAAGAUGUAACGGGGCUAAACCAUGCACCGAAGCUGCGGCAGCGACACUAUGUGUUGUUGGGUAGGGGAGCGUUCUGUAAGCCUGCGAAGGUGGCCUGUGAGGGUUGCUGGAGGUAUCAGAAGUGCGAAUGCUGACAUAAGUAACGAUAAAGCGGGUGAAAAGCCCGCUCGCCGGAAGACCAAGGGUUCCUGUCCAACGUUAAUCGGGGCAGGGUGAGUCGACCCCUAAGGCGAGGCCGAAAGGCGUAGUCGAUGGGAAACAGGUUAAUAUUCCUGUACUUGGUGUUACUGCGAAGGGGGGACGGAGAAGGCUAUGUUAGCCGGGCGACGGUUGUCCCGGUUUAAGCAUGUAGGCGGAGGUUCCAGGUAAAUCCGGUACCUUUUAACGCUGAGGUGUGAUGACGAGGCACUACGGUGCUGAAGUAACAAAUGCCCUGCUUCCAGGAAAAGCCUCUAAGCAUCAGGUAACAUUAAAUCGUACCCCAAACCGACACAGGUGGUCAGGUAGAGAAUACCAAGGCGCUUGAGAGAACUCGGGUGAAGGAACUAGGCAAAAUGGUGCCGUAACUUCGGGAGAAGGCACGCUGGUGUGUAGGUGAAGUCCCUGCGGAUGGAGCUGAGACCAGUCGAAGAUACCAGCUGGCUGCAACUGUUUAUUAAAAACACAGCACUGUGCAAACACGAAAGUGGACGUAUACGGUGUGACGCCUGCCCGGUGCCGGAAGGUUAAUUGAUGGGGUUAUCCGUAAGGAGAAGCUCUUGAUCGAAGCCCCGGUAAACGGCGGCCGUAACUAUAACGGUCCUAAGGUAGCGAAAUUCCUUGUCGGGUAAGUUCCGACCUGCACGAAUGGCGUAAUGAUGGCCAGGCUGUCUCCACCCGAGACUCAGUGAAAUUGAACUCGCUGUGAAGAUGCAGUGUACCCGCGGCAAGACGGAAAGACCCCGUGAACCUUUACUAUAGCUUGACACUGAACAUUGAGCCUUGAUGUGUAGGAUAGGUGGGAGGCUUUGAAGCGUGGACGCCAGUCUGCGUGGAGCCAACCUUGAAAUACCACCCUUUAAUGUUUGAUGUUCUAACGUAGGCCCCUUAUCGGGGUUGCGGACAGUGUCUGGUGGGUAGUUUGACUGGGGCGGUCUCCUCCCAAAGAGUAACGGAGGAGCACGAAGGUUAGCUAAUCCUGGUCGGACAUCAGGAGGUUAGUGCAAUGGCAUAAGCUAGCUUGACUGCGAGCGUGACGGCGCGAGCAGGUGCGAAAGCAGGUCAUAGUGAUCCGGUGGUUCUGAAUGGAAGGGCCAUCGCUCAACGGAUAAAAGGUACUCCGGGGAUAACAGGCUGAUACCGCCCAAGAGUUCAUAUCGACUGGCGUUUUGGCCCUCGAUUUCGCUCAUCCAUCCUGGGGCUGAAGUAUGUCCCAGGGUAUGGCUGUCGCCAUUUAACGUGU